rnacentral:rRNA from 1 species
CCUGGCGGCUUCGCACGCGGGAACCACCCGAUCCCUUCCCGAACUCGACCGUGAAACCGCGUCGCACCGAUGAUCGUGUGAGAGUACUCAUGCUAAAGUAGGUCACCGCCAGGC